GCAGCGGUAGCUCAGUUGGUAGAGCAGGGGCCUCUUAAGCCCAAGGUCCUGGGUUCGAAUCCCAGCCGCUGCACCA
rnacentral:tRNA from 1 species